rnacentral:rRNA from 1 species
GUCUAUGGCGAUACCACCCUGAACGCGCCCGAUCUCGUCUGAUCUCGGAAGAAAUAAGCAUGUCCUUUGCGCUGCUGUGAGCU